GAACGAACACGAAAGACAGUCGUCUUUGGGAAUGCCGAUGUUGAUCGGAGGGUAAUAAAUAGCUCGAACGGUAACGGGAAAUGGGGAGUGAAUUAAUGCGGAGAACAAUAACAAUAAUUAAAUAAAAAUAAUU